rnacentral:rRNA from 1 species
GUGCCAGCAGCCGCGGUAAUACGUAGGGGGCAAGCGUUGUCCGGAUUCAUUGGGCGUAAAGCGCGUGUAGGCGGCCAGGUAGGUCCGGUGUGAAAACUCGAGGCUCAACCUCGAGAGGUCAUCGGAAACCAUCUGGCUAGAGUCCGGAAGAGGAGAGUGGAAUUCCCGGUGUAGCGGUGAAAUGCGCAGAUAUCGGGAAGAACACCCAUGGCGAAGGCAGCUCUCUGGGACGGUACUGACGCUGAGACGCGAAAGCGUGGGGAGCGAACAGGAUUAGAUACCCUGGUAGUCC